UGAAGAGCGCAGCCAACUGUGUGAAUUAAUGCAAACUGCAUACUGCUUUGAACAUCGACAUCUUGAACGCAUAUUGCGGCCAUGGGUUAGCCUGUGGCCACGCCUGUCCGAGGGUCGGCUUAUAAACUAUCACGACGCCCAAAAAGUCGUGGCUUGGGUUUUGCCAGCUGGCGUGAUCUCCUCUAUGAGUAAUCAUGUGAGGUGCCAGAUCUAUGGCGUUUCCCUAAUGUAUCCGGAUGCACCCUUGUCUUGGCAGAAAGCCGUGGUGAGGUGCAGUGGCGGAAUCGUGGUUUAAUAAUCGGGUUGGUACUCAGUUGUCAGUGUGUUCGGCGAUCCCCUAGUCGGCACACUCAUGAUUUCUGGGAUAAUUCCAUACCAGGCACGUUCCGUUACUGUUACUUUGUCAUUGGUUUGAUGCUGAACUUGGUCAUGUGUCUGAUGCUAUUUCAUAUAACGACGGUACCCUUCGUGGUCUGUCUUCCUGACCUCG
rnacentral:rRNA from 1 species